AAAUCUUUGUCAAAUGUCAAAAGGCCCAAACUCUUUGCAUUACUCGUAAAGAUCAAAACCCACACAGAGUCACGGGCCGCUAUGGAUGCUUACCAACAGCACCAUGGAUACAUGAGACCACCGCAACUGCCACCUGCGCCUCCGUCGACUGCGGAUCCCCACCACUAUCUCCGCCACCAGCCAAGACCACUCGUCCCUCCGCAAGCCACAUGGUACUCCAACCAAUUCCAGUAGCACCCAUCACCACCAUCUUCGCACUCUCCAUCUCCUCCACCUCCUCAGCAGUGGGUGGCUUCUCCGAACUCCGACCUUAUCCCUCCUCUUCCUCCUCCUCCCUCCUCUUCCUAUCCUCCCCCACCACCUGUACAUCCUUAUCCUUCUCAUGUUCCUCCUCCACCCCACCAGUUCCCUCCUCCUCGCCCUCACUUGCCUGCUCCUCCUUCCCAUUCUCAGAUUCCCCAAUCUUACGCUCAGGUUAAUCAGGAAUGGCGAAAUUCGAACUGGGGAAGCACCAAAGCUGGGACUGCCAAGCUCACAACAAUGUAGAGGAAUGGGCUGCUAGAGCCGGAGCAUGGGCAGUUCAAAAAGCUGCAAUGGAGGAUCACCAUCCUCAGUCCUAAUUUACAAAAGUUGUCAGAACAGAAGAACAAAACCAGUUUCUGCAAAAUGUUGAUUCUCAUUAUCAAGAUGUUCAGCAACAGCCAUUUCCUGCAUCAGGCUAUCAACAGUUUCCAGUUUCAGCUGCACCUUUGCCCCAGCAACCAGUAGCUUAUUUGCAGGAGAAUGCAUCUUUCAACUCAGGGGAAUCUUCUAAUGUUCCUGAAGGGCAUAUACCUUACACUGUUGGUGGUGGAAUUUCAGCUGGAGCACCAACUGCAAGGUCCAUCUGUUCUUCAGCAGGACGUACCUUCUAGUUAUUCUUCUGUUACAGGUAAAGAAGAGGCUAUGGAUCAAAAGGGUCAGCUGUACAAAUCAUUAACUUUUAACUUCAUGACAUGUAGAUUGUGUUUGGUUGAGUAGAUUCAUUGAAUGUAACAAUUUCAUUAUUGUAAAUAAUUACCUGUUUGAGUGUGAAUUUGAAACGCCUACGAUAGAGAUGUAAUUUCAAAUGCAAUCUCAAAAUUUAGAUUAAGCAUGGGUUUUGCUUUCUUAUUUACAAAUAUUGAUAUUAAAUUUUACAAUUUGAAGUAAAAACUUAUAAAUCCUUUAAUCUCUCUUUCCAAAUGGAGCCUGAAUUCUUUUGAAACGAGCUUAACUUUUGUGUGACUAAGUUAAUAUCCUAUUUUAUGUACUUUAGUCAAUAAAAGUAUAUAUCCUAUCCCUGUAAAUUGUUUGUGGCUUCUGUGGUUGGUUUUGGUGAACCUGAUAUGGUUGUUUGGGCAUAGCUUGUUGUUUGGUCAAUGCUGAAUAGUUUGAUUUGAUACUUUCUCAUUUCAAAUCUGUAUCAUUUUUUUCUCUUCCUGGUGGAAAUUUUGAAUUUGUUUUCUUGCUAUACUGUUUUUGUUUCCAAAUGCAUGCAUUGAAAGCUACUUGCCACGCUCAUCCUUUUUGAACGCACAAAACAAAUAUUGGUGGAAGUGCUUGCUGUGCCAUGGGAAUGAAAUUAGCAGUUUGGUGAAAAGUAGAUGUGCUUUACAAUCCAUAUGCAUUUGGGUGGCUGAGCAAUUUGAUUUUAAACUUGUUUUCCAUAUUUGUUAUGAACGCUAAACAUGCAUGAGCCAACAUUUGGUGCAAGGAUGAGAGUUACCAAACAAUGGCAACAUGAUUAUGGGUAGUUUUUUGUUUCUUCUGUGUACUUUAUUUGCAUUAGCUGUGAGGACAAGACUAGGUCUCUUUUUUGUAUUUGCAAGAUACAUGACCAGAAUUUCUCUUUGGAUCUCUUAAAAAAAACCUUUUCAAUUAACUUCUAUUUGUAUGUCUUAAGCGGCCUGAUCUUUUUUAAUCCCUUUUCUCAAGCAGUUUCUUUUUCUGUCUUUGUAUCUACAUAAAUAGGCUGGCCUUUCUGUUUAUCCGUGAAUUGUUACAUUCGCAAAAUUCUGACAGUUGAAGAAAUUCUUAGCGACAGAUAAACUGAACUAGUGGUAAUCUGCAGUCACUGCAGGCCAUAGGCCUUUUUCCCAUUCUGGCCCAACAGCUUCUGUGGUUCAAACCACUUGCAUAUUAUUUUUUAUUAUAUCACGCGUUUGUCAAAAAGCACACAAAAAGUCCUUAGUAUCCUAAUUUUAGUUUUCCUAGCUUUUUUCCCCCCCUUAUCUUUAUGAUUCGGAAAUUAUGUAAUAGGUUGAUAAGAGGUAUGGUAACUCGAAGGUCAAGGUAUGGUUUAGCUGCUAGCAACACCUCCAUUCUAAUGAGGUUUUGAAUUCAAAUCCUCACAUCCCAAACUACCUAAAAGAAAUUACAGCGAUGAAUGUAUUAUGCAUGUGUCCUUUCAUAUUCUGUGAAGCACUACGUUUGUUCCAUGGGUUUGGUUACCUGAGUAUAAUAUGUGUUGAUACUUCAUGAAUAAAAUUUCACUUUUAUUUGGACUGAAUUCACCAAUUUGGAUACUUGGUGGUAUUUGAUAAUGUAGAUCCUUUAUUAUGCAAUUAGUAGGAGAGAAAUGUGCUCCGGACCAUUCAUAUUAAGUUCGACUCUAUACAAGGCUAAAAAUGUUCUCUCUUUGAGUUAUGUAUCUCUACCCACCAAAUAAGUGUGAUGGAUGUUUUCAUGUCUUUACAAUUUUUGCAGUCACCUCAUAGCAAGCAUUCUCUCUGCUCUUCCCUUGACACCACCAAUGAUGUAGGACACAGAGCACUAUAAGGGGGAAAAAGAAAUAAAUUCGCAAAUUCUAUUAAUUCUCAGUUAUCAAUAACAAUACUAAUAAGUUCUCUAAUAAAAUGCCUAGAUGGCAGGUAUUUUUAGUAUAACAUUAGUCCAAAAUAAGAAAAUACCAAUCUAAUCUAACUAGAAAUAAAAAAAAAAAAAAACACUAAUUAGGAAAUUCUAAAUAAUUAAAAUACGGUUUCGUUAUUAAGUUUUCUAAAUAAUAGAAACCAAAAUUUUCUAAUUAUAACAAAAUCUGAAUGAAAAAUCUUAAUUUUACAAAUAGAAGUUAAAUAAAUAUAAUUUCUAAAUCUAGUUCUCUUUUACAAUUAAAAAUCAAAUAAAAAUAAUUGCUAAAUCUAGUUUGGUAUAUUGCCCUGCAUUCUUUAAGAUUAUGAUUGUAUUGAUGUUUUUAAGACAUAAACAAUCGAAUGCUCAACAGGUGAAAGCAUCAGGCUUCAGAAUUUCUUGCAGGGGAAGGAGGUCAAGGUCCAAAUCAUCUGUGAGUGGGCAUAGAUGAUUCUAAGGGAGGACAUCUUGGAAUGAUAUUGCCCGGAAAUGCAAGACAGACUGGUUGGAGGUUCUUGAAGAUCUAUUAUGGUGUGAAAUUAUCCAAUAGACCCUAAAAACUGGAGAUAUGGCCUAUAAGCAAAUUGUAGCAGUGGAAGUACGUGUACAUUCUCUGAUGUUGAAUCUGCACCAGGAGGUUUACUGGGUUCCGCAGAAUCAUGUUAAAGAUUAUGAAUAUGCUCGGGCCAGGUGCCUUUUUGUCUGUUUUACAAGUGUAACAUGUGCAGUUGAAACAG